rnacentral:antisense_RNA from 1 species
CCCGGCAGAGGGCUCCGCGAAAACAGUGCCGUCUUUGGGCGCGCGCGCGGGCGGGAGCUGUCAGGGCUGGGCGGUACCGCCGAGCUCCGAGCUUUCCAGAAGCAAAAACAAAACAAAAAAAGUUCGGGUACAGCGGCUCACACCUGUAAUCCCAGCUCUUAGGGAGAUGGAGACUGGAGGAUCACUUGAGGCCAGGAGUUCAAGACCAGCCUGGGCAACAUAGCAAGACCCAGUCUCUUAAAAGAAAAUUAAAAAGAAAGAAUAAAUAAAGUUCCAGAAGCUUGCUCUCCUUA